CAAUUGCACCAGGGUCAUGUAUAAACCAGGGAAGUUCUCCACAAUAGCCAGACCAGAACCCCCUGUACACUUGCCCUCUGUACUCAUUGCUUCUCUGUCUCUCUUCCCCUCAGCUCUGCUGCUCUCCCUCUGAGCUUUCUCAGCACCUGGCCCCACAGCACUUCCUGCCAGCCAGAGACUGCAUGUUCCAGGCCUGUUCCUGUGGAUGUGACCUCUCUCCUGAUUCCUGAGGAAAGGAACCUUUCCAGGAAAUGGCCAUGGAUUCUGGGAAUCUGCAUGUGGCUGGUGGACAGCACCAGGAAUCAUUUGGCUCCUGGCACACAAGGCAACUUAAAAGCUGAGCACCCAGACAAGGGCUUGAACCCUGGAUCUUCAAAUUAAGAGCCUGAUGCUUUACCAACUGAACUACCUGGGCUUGUUGAGACCAUCUUCACCAUUCACCACAAGAGCGAGUAGAGCCCAAACUCAGGAACUCACCUUGGGUGCAGGGACUGCUGUGCUCCCAGAAAACAUCCCCUGUACGAAGAGUGCUAACAAGGCCUGCCAAAGCCAGGGAUUGAACCAGGUACCUUUAGAGCUUCGGUCUAACACUCUCCCAACUGAGCUACUCUGGCAGUUAUAUGAGAGCAUUUUGGCCUGUUGCUUCUCUGUCUGGGAUGUUUUUGUCAGCAGUUGCACACAAAAAGGACAGGAAAACAAACGGCUGCUUCAUACCCCCACCGGAGGAACCCGGCACCAUUAGCUGUGCCCCAUAGCUCCCAUGGAGUCGCUGACUUGGCUUCUUUCGCACUCUAGAGACAGGAGCAGAACCAGGGCUAUGGCUGAUCUAUGGGGCAUCAGAGACUGUCUGGUUUGGCCAAUGAAGG